GAGUGCUUAUGUCCAGCUCACCGUCUCCCUGUACAGUCAUGGAACUCAGCCCAAAGAACAAUGUGACUAACAGUGGCACAGUUUGCUUCCUCAGUUUACCACCUCAAGAUAGUGUUCUGCAGACAUGCUUGGGGGUCUGGAUCUUGUCAAUUUGAAGAUGAAUUAUCACAGUGCCCACAAAGCAUUAUGGUCAUUUUGGGGUUUUAGUCUAUGGUAGAGCCAACCUCUCUGCUGCUGGAUAGCCUUCUCCUGUGCACUCAAAUGACCACUUCGACUGUCUUCCUGGUGAUGCAAAAUAAGCAAACUCUGUCCCUGUAGUUCCUUGGGAUGUUUGUAGUAGUAUCUUCUUGGUCAUCUUGUGACCAUUAAGUCAUGCUUUAAAGGACAUCCACAGGUUAGACUGCCAAACAACCAGCAGGACCUAGUCUGACCUCACUGCAACACUAGCAUUGUCAUGUGUUACCUGAAUGUGUUGACAAUACAAUUUCACCUCUGGAUGAGGGAAAACGACACCUGAAGGUGGUAAAGUUGGAGUCUAAAAAAAGCAAAUGUGCUACUUCAAUCUUAAAGACAUUUCCUCGAAAAGAUAGUGUGGCCCCCCUUGAUGUGAAGAGAUCUCCAGUCCUCCCUGGCACCUCCAGAGAAACAGCCCAUGCUACAACAGAAGUGGUACCUGAAAAUUCUGAUGCUGCACCUUCAGCAGGGGGACAGAGAGAGCCACCAGAGAGAAUAAUGAAGGUAAGGUGGCUUUUCCUCUCUCUAAGC